GACCCCUAUGUUCUAUUUUAAGUAACGGCGGCCAUGUUUUUUGACGGAUCAAAAAUCGAAGCGCACAUUUUGUGCAGGAUAUACUAAGGAACAAUCAUCUUAAGUUUCAUUCAAAUCCAUUCAGUAGUUUCAGAGGAGAAGAUGUUUGAAAAAUUGUUAACGACGACGACGACGACGUCGACGACGACGACGACGACGACGACGGACGCCAAGUGAUGAGAAAAGCUCACAUGGCCUUUUAGGCCAGGUGAGCUAAAAAU
rnacentral:lncRNA from 1 species